rnacentral:lncRNA from 1 species
UCUAAUACAACGGCUCUUUUUACCACAAAUAUGUUCUCUCUUCUCUUCUCUUCUCUUCCACCAGAAAUUAAUACUAAGUCUUUUCUCUUCUCUUCUUCGUUACCAUUCUGUAGCACUGAAAUUAAGAUGAAGAUGGGUUUUGAUUUCUCCGACAAAAUUUUGUAGCUCCGGCAGAAAAGCAAUUGCCGUCUUUCCUCCCUUUUCCCUACCUCUAAUUUGAAGCUGCUAAGUCUCAGGUAUCGAUUUUUUUUCAUCUUUCAAUAAUCUUACCUUUCUUAUUUUAUGAUUGAUUUGAUGAAAUUUCAAUUUCAAUUUUUUUUCUGUAAAAUUAUCUGUUUCGCGGCUUAGGAUCUCUUUCUCUAUGUCUGAAAUUGUUGAAAUGGGUUCUAGAUUGUCUGUAACUUUUGCUUCCAUUAUUGGGUCGACGCAUAGGAGCUAGUUUUUUUUUUUUGGCUUUUGGGUCUGAAUUAUCUCAAUUUAGUUUGUUGUAUCUAUUAAGUAUGAGUUGUACCCGUUUUCUCUACCUAUAAUUAAUGAAGAGUCGAAGGGAAAUUCUAUUUUCUACUUGUGGUUGGCUUAUUUACUAGUGUUGGAACGGAAUGUGAGUGAUGGGAUUUAGAGGAGAGACCCCGAUUAGUUUGAAUUCAUCAGUAGUUUUGUCAUUGACUUGUAAUAGGGGCUUUAAGGCGUGUAUUGAUAUGCUAUUUAAGACAUUGCUAUGUUUCUUGUAUCCAUUCAAGUACUUUUUCCCAUUUUUGUUUGAAUUAGGGUCGGGGGUUUAGUUGAUUGAAUAAAUAAUUUUCAUGUAACCUCGAAUUCAACUCGUCGUAAGAAUGAGGAAUUUGGUAUAUCAGUCAUGGGUUACUUCUUAGAAUUUGUAACGGAAAUAUGAUUUUGUUGCCCUGGUGAUGUUUGAUCAAAGUCCCAAAAGAAUUUUAGUUUAGUGGAAUAUUAUGAAAGAUUAUGAUUUGAAUCUUAAAUUUUCAUGCUUUCACUUAGAGAAAGAUAUUUGAAUGGCAUGAUCUUUUAUCCAAAUAUAGAAUCUAUACAUAUCAUUUCCAUAUUCAAUUUGUCGUUAUAUCCAUGUUGAUUUGACACUAAAAUAUGUCUCAACUAUUUACCAAAGUGUGUCUAUUUUAUAUUACCUUCUAGAGUCAACAUUUCCUCCACAAUAUAUUUUGCUAUAUCUACAAGAUCAUUUUGUGACUAGCUUGUAAGAAAAGACUCAUGAAUCCUUUAAUCAAUUUUACAUUAUAUAUUAAUGAAAUAUCUAAAAAUUUAAGACGUAUGCGCCUAGUUGGGAAAGGGGAGGACAGAACAUGUAGCUUAGGGGGACAAGGGCUUUUAGAUGGGCAUUUUCUCAAAUCUCUAACAGGGAGUAGAACUUCUUAAUAUCUCAUGUGCUUUGACCUCUAUCCAUUUGAUUAAGUUGUUAUUUUAUUGAGGCAGACGAAAAAACAUGAGGUUGAGUAAUAAAAUACGUCCACGAGGGAAUGCAACAAUGACUCACAUUGUUACUGCUCUUGUUUGCCAGGAUUUAGGUUUAUGGUUAAAAGAAAUAAAGAUUGGAAGCAAUCGUCAAUUUUUCAAAGAAAAUGGUGUUAAUGGAGAGUAUUUGGAGGGGAUGUCCUCUUUCUUUUAAUUUUUGAUCUAAUGCUCAGUGUUCUAUUAUUUCAUUUGAGUUUAGUUUGUUCAAAAUAGAAUGAUUAAUCUAGAGACUGUUUAUGUUUAUCUUUAAGUGUCUUCACUGUUAUAGAUAUUACUUUGUCUCUUAAACGAUUGUAUUUGUACUAGUGUAUCAUUCAUGAUUUGGUUUAGUUCUCUAAGUACCCUAUUUUUGUUCUAAAUCAGUCCAUCUUUAAGUGUGUUCACUGUUAGUAUUGUUCCUCGCAUUAGGGAUUCCAUCAUAAUGUCAUAGUUAUCCAUUUUAUUUGGAAGUGGAGCGAAAAUUUAUGUUUUGGUUCAAUUAUGAACGUAUUUGGCCUAAUUCCCCCUAUAAAUACCCUUGUCAUCUUCACUGUUAAAUAGGGAUUUGAACCAUCGAAAAAGACAGAAUUCUUCAUCGAGAAAUAGGGGUAUUGGAGAGCAUUUCAAGUUUAAGAAUUUUUUAGAGGAAAAUGCCCUCUUCUUUUGAUGUUUCCGAGCCGUUGGCUCAUCGAAGUUCGCUGGAGCUGAUCUUCUGGUGGUGAGAAGUCUUCGAGCUCGUUAUUUGGGUUUGCUGCACAAAAAGAGGUAAAUCCCUUCUUUCUUCAGUAUCUCGAUAUACUUGUUAUGCUUCUAAGUUUAAAAAUGUCUUCUCAUGUGGACUUUUGGUUGAAACUUGAAGGUUUGAACCUCUUUGAUCCCACUGUUGGUUGCUGCUCGAUUGGAAUGUUUGAAUGUCGUACUGAUCUCCUCCCUCACUCAGAAUGAUUUAGUUUCAGCCUCUCUUUGUUCCUUUCCCUAAAUGUCUCAAGUGUCAUCUUGUUUUCUUUAGUUGAGAGUUAUGCGUGGAAUGAUAAAUGAUUAAGAGGGUGCUUGUGGUUAUAAGUUUUAAGCUUUAAAUGUGUUGUGUUGUUUCUUUUAUUGUUAGCUUUAUAAUCAAUUUUUUUAAUGUAUUUGAGAUGUAUCCAGUUUAAAUUUUGUUUCAUUAUAGUCUCCGUUUUCCACUGAGAUUUGGUUCAAAUUAGUCAGUGAUCCCUCAUUAGGACAUUUUUUAAUGUGUUUGGAAGAUGACAUACUGCUUUCAUUUUUAAUAAGAAGACCACCAUAUGCUCUUUUUCUUAUUACUAUUAUGUUGUUUUAAAAUGUUUGUUUUUGGGUGCUGAAUUUGCUCAAUUUUGCAUCUUUAGGAAUUUCAUCAGCCUUGAUUUAGAUUUGAGUUAUGAGAAAGCAUUCCUGUCUAGCUAACGUAUU